ensembl:lncRNA LINC02693 long intergenic non-protein coding RNA 2693
GCGCCCGGCCGGCGUGGCUGGCUGUUUGAGGACUGCGCGCGGAGCUCCGUGGCGGGUGUCUGAAGUCGUGAGUUUACUGCUUGUAAGGAACAUAGCGAUCACUGGGAACCUGGAAGUAGAGACUCCUUUCUGCCAUCCAUCCGUCCCUCGGGCUGCUGCGAAUCCCCCCGCCGGCCUCCAGGACCCCGGGCUGACUGAACGCCCGCACCGGUCCCGCCGCCCCAGGGCCCGCUACGCGCCCGGCAUAAUGGGAGAAAAAUCACGACGGAAAGGCCCAGCCCCUCGCCAUGCAGACGGGAAGCUUGGCCGCACGUGUGAUCACCCUUACGCCCCUUGGAGUUUCACCCCCUCUUCGCGGGCUCCAACAGCCUGGGUCAGGCCUCCUUGUCCUGUGUGGGCCUCUCGGCUGCAAGAACACAGUCCCGAGCCCCGGCGAGCCCGCGCGCCUCCCACCCGCCGUGCACAGGCUGCACUUUACGCCCCAGCACUGCGCCUGCGGGACCAUCUGGAUCGCUUUUCCAUUCUGAUGACGUCCUGUACUUCGUGGCUGCAGGCUCCUCAAGCCCCAGGUCUGUGCAGAGACGAGCAAAGCAGCAGAAUAUCCGUGCCACAGCUUUCUGGAGCACCCAUUUUACUACCAGAUUUGGAAGGAACGAAGUUAAGUAAUUUCCAAGAAUCAUCUCCCCUGCCCCACAAACAUGAAAGAAAAGACAAGAGAAGCACCCCAGAAGAGGAGGGGAGAAGUGCCCCAGAAAAAAUCAUCCAGUCUCUGAAGCUUUGCCCAGGAGCCAGCUGAGGAGGUGUGUCAUGCAACUUGCCCCCCCAGCCCUCCCCUUCUAAGGAACCCCCACACCUGCUCUGUCUUCCUGCUACAGUCUCUGAGAAAAGCCCUUUCAUCUGUCAAGAACUACAAAAGUCAUUCUUUAAGCAGUGCUAAAUAAACAAUGAAACAGACACAAAGUUAAAGUUACCUGAUCCAAAAAGGAGUGAAGCCUAGACCCCAGCCCACUGACUCAGUCUCUAAGACCCCUCACUCAAAUCUUCAAUCAACAGUGGAGAUGGCUGUGAGCUCUUCUGAUUCCAGAUGACAAUACUCCUCCCUUUAAUUCCUUGAUAUGUUUAAUUAUGGUCUCUGGCUGCUCUUGAGUCGAAGACAGAUUCUUGUCCUGUUUGCUGCCCUCUGUAGCCUGUGAGCAGAACCAGAAGGGACACUCUCACAGCCUGUUCGCCACGGAAUCCAGGAGGCAGGUCCAUUUUGGUGGCUGUCUCCACAACAUGGCUUUUUCCCCUUGAAGACCAUCAGAAGAGCCUGUAUCUCCGCAUCUGCGGAAAUCGUCUUUGCCAUGUAAUGUGCCAUAACCAUGGGAGUGACAUCGCAUCACAUCCCAGGGCCACCGCUGAGGAGGAGGUUCAGAGGCCAGGAGUCCUAAACCUGCCUCACUGGGCCGGAAUCAAGGUGUCAGCAGGGCCGCGCUCCCUCUGCAGGCUCCGGGAGACCCCAAUCCUCGCCUCCUCCAGUUUCUAGUGGCUGCUGGCCACCUCCACCCUCUGCCUCCGUGGUCACAUGGCCACCUCCUCUUCUGUCUGUAGUAAAAUCUCCCUCUGCCUCCCUCUGAUAAAGACACAUGUGAUUGCAUUUAGGACCACCUGGGUCAUCUAUCAUAAUCCCCCACUUCUCAAGACCUUAAUUUAAAUCACAUCUGCAAAGAUCCUUUCUCUGUGUCAGGGAACUGUCCUAGGUUCCAGGGGUGAGGGCCUGGAUAAUUCAGGGGCCGUGAUUCCACCCACUGCAAUGUGUCUUCUCUGACCCUGCUUGAGUGUGCUGGCAAGGACUGCUGCCUUGUCAUCCAUUCGUAUUAGUGUCUGCAGCAUUUGGCAAUAUGGUGUUUCUAUUGAGAGAAAGUCAUAAUCAAGUAAAAUUCUUUUUUUUUUCCUUUGCCUGAGAGAGAAAAAUCUCCAUUCCACUAUUCUCCCAGAUCAGCUGCUUUUGGAAGGCAGGGAACAAGGCAGCAUCAGUGAAUUCCACAAGCACUGACCCGUUGCCACAUUCCUUUGAUAUAAAGUAGCUUCCUGAGUCAGAGCAAUUCUGAGUGGGACACCAUGAUGGUGAAAAGGUCUGUGGUUAACAGAUCAUACUUCCAUGGAAGGAUUGCGGGCAGAGAAGAUAAGCCCAUAUUCAGAGUAAGUGCCUCUUCCAGGGAGAACAUCUUGCUGCCCUCUUCAUCCUGGAAGUGAUCAAAUGCAAUCAGUCUGCCACGGGGAUCCUGGGAAAAGGUGUCACCUCAGGCUUUUCCUUGGCUUGUAGACAGCCAUCUUCUCCCUGUGUCCUCACAUGGUUGACCCUCUGUGCACACCUUCAUUCUAAUCUCUUCUUAUAAGGACAUCAGUCCGAUUGAAUUAGGACCACCCUCAUCACCUCACUCAACUUUAAUUACCUGUUUAAAGAUCCCAUCUUCAAAUGCAGUCACAUUCUGAGGCACCAGGGUUAGGGCUUCAACAUAUGAAUUGCGGGGACACAGCCCAUAGCAUGAGGAAAACAGCUCCCUUGCAUUUGGUGGGCGAGCACAGGAGGAGCCAGGGGUGGAAAAGUCCUUUGAUAGGUGAGGGAUGAUUCGGAUGAAAGGGACAGAAAAUGCAAUUUAGAAAGUGGAGUUUGGGUACAGCCUCAUCACGGGAGCUGCUCUGCGUUCUCGGGUCAUGCAGGCUGGCAUCUAAUGCCAACUUUCCCCUGUCCAUCAGCGCCUGUAGCCUCCACGUCCUCCUCACCCAUGGUGGCCUCCACGGACCCCACUCAGCCCCUUCCAUCAGCACCACCUGCUCCCCAUCUAUCACUUCUUCCUGGGAGAGCCCCACUCUUGGUCUUUUCUAAGCCUGCUUCAUAGUAAGUGGCUGAAACCUGUGGGAUAAGCUCCCAUUAGCUUGUAGAUUCUGCUGCCAUAAAUGUAUGGUCUGACCAUUGGUCAACUCCAACACUGUGUGGGAACUGUCCAUCCAUCCGUGCGUCCAUCCGCCCAUCUGUCUGUCCAUUCAUCCAUUACAGAUAAUUUGAAAAGUGCCUUCCUUAUGAGCUAGAAUGUCUGUGCACAAAACAGACAAAGUUGGCUGCUUCUUGGAGCUUACAUCAGAGAUCUCCAAACUUUUUCUAUAAAUGGUGAGAUAUUAAAUAUUUUAGGCUUUGUAGGCCAUAUGGUCUCUGUCACAACUACUCAAUUCUGCCAUGGUUUUGUAAAAGCAGCCAUCAACAAUUCAUGAACAAUUCAUGAAAUGAGUGUGGUUCUGUGCCAAAGGACAUUGGGAUUUCAUUCCACGUUCAUGCAUCAUGAAUACUAUGCUUCAUUAAUAGAGCACAAAGGAAGCCUUCCUUUGACCCUAAAGAACCAUGUUAUCUGCACAGUACAAUUGCUUUGAUUCCUCCUGUUUUUGUCUUCAUGCUGCCAUCGUGGGUACCUAGCACACUGUCAAAUAAGGCUUUAUUGCCUCUUAGCUCACGUAACAAAAAUACUUCUGUUUUGUAAGUUCCCUCGUUUAAAGGGAAACAUGCUUCAUCUGAUUUAGAUAUAUCAGUCUAUUCCAACUUAAUUUGGAGUCUUAAAAAUUAAGGAUGGCCAGGCGUGGUGGCUCACGCCUAUAAUCCCAGCACUUUGGGAGGCCUAGGUGGGAGAAUUGCUUGAGGUCAGGAGUUCAAGACCUGCCUGGGCAACACAGCGAGACCCUGUCUCUAAAAAAAAAUUAAGGAUGCAUUGUUUGAACAUAUACCUUACUAUUUUAGAGAUGAAUGUUUUAUUUUUGUGUCGUAGAUACUGAUGAAUAGAUGUUUAAUUGUUGCCAGAGUUCAAUAAACAGCCCAUGUUACUGGUGGUGGUGUCAGUUGUUGCAACUAGUUUAGACACUAUUUAAUCACUUAUCUUCCAAAUGUCAUUCUCUUUGCUUAGCAAAUGUAUUUCUGUGAAUGUACAAUGAGUAA